rnacentral:rRNA from 1 species
AUUGAACGCUGGCGGCAGGCCUAACACAUGCAAGUCGAACGAGUGGCGGACGGGUGAGUAAUGUCUGGGAAACUGCCCGAUGGAGGGGGAUAACUACUGGAAACGGUAGCUAAUACUGCAUACCAUCAGAUGUGCCCAGAUGGGCUUAGCUUGUUGGUGGUGUAACGGCUCACACAGGCGACGAUCCCUAGCUGAUCUGAGAGGAUGACCAGCCUCACUGGAACUGAGACACGGUCCAGACUCCUACUGGAGGCAGCAGUGGUGAAUAUUGCACAAUGGGCGCAAGCCUUAUACAGCCAUGCCGCGUGUAUGAAGAGGGCCUUCGGGUUGUAAAGUACUUUCAGCGGGGAGGCGUUACCCGCAGAAGAAGCACCGGCUAACUCCGUGCCAGCAGCCGCGGUAAUUC